rnacentral:rRNA from 1 species
ACGAAGGGGGCUAGCGUUGUUCGGAAUUACUGGGCGUUAAGCGCACGUAGGCGGACAUUUAAGUCAGGGGUGAAAUCCCGGGGCUCAACCCCGGAACUGCCUUUGAUACUGGGUGUCUGGAGUAUGGAAGAGGUGAGUGGAAUUCCGAGUGUAGAGGUGAAAUUCGUAGAUAUUCGGAGGAACACCUGUGGCGAAAGCGGCGCACUGGACCACAACUGACGCUGAGGCGCGAAAGCUAGGGGAGCAAACAGGA